UACGUAGGGUGCGAGCGUUGUCCGGAAUUAUUGGGCGUAAAGAGCUCGUAGGCGGUUUGUCGCGUCGGCCGUGAAAACUUGGGGCUUAACCCCAAGCCUGCGGUCGAUACGGGCAGACUUGAGUUCGGCAGGGGAGACUGGAAUUCCUGGUGUAGCGGUGAAAUGCGCAGAUAUCGGGAGGAAUACCCGUGGCGAAGGCGGCCUGCUGGGAUACACCUGACGCUGAGACACGAAGGCGUGGGGAGCGAACGGG
rnacentral:rRNA from 1 species